UAACUCUUGGGCAAUGUUUGUCAUCCAAAUCGUGUCAGGAUCGGGAGAUAGCAGCACUAAGGCUGUAUGAGCAUGUGCCCUUUUUUGAGAAUUCAACA
rnacentral:SRP_RNA from 5 species